CAGCCGCCGCGGUAAUACGAAGGGUGCAAGCGUUAAUCGGAAUUACUGGGCGUAAAGCGUGCGUAGGCGGUUUGUUAAGUCUGUUGUGAAAUCCCCGGGCUCAACCUGGGAAUGGCAAUGGAUACUGGCAAGCUAGAGUGUGUCAGAGGAUGGUGGAAUUCCCGGUGUAGCGGUGAAAUGCGUAGAGAUCGGGAGGAACAUCAGUGGCGAAGGCGGCCAUCUGGGACAAACUGACGCUGAGGCACGAAAGCGUGGGGAGCAAACAGGAUUAGAUACCCCUGUAGUCCCUGUCUCUUAUACA
rnacentral:rRNA from 1 species